rnacentral:tRNA from 1 species
GGAAGUGUGCCUGAGAACACAAGGACUACCUUGAUAGAGUAGACACGGGGCCAUCUACCCCGCUUCCU